AAUACGUCUAGCUUUGGUAGCUUCUUAGAGCAAUUGUUUAUUGAUUUGCAGGAGAGAAACAUUUGUGAAGGCGUAU
rnacentral:pre_miRNA from 1 species